rnacentral:rRNA from 1 species
CCUACGGGUGGCAGCAGUGAGGAAUAUUGGUCAAUGGCCGUGAGGCUGAACCAGCCAAGUCGCGUGAGGGAUGACUGCUCUAUGGUUUGUAAACUUCUUUUGUAUGGGAAUAAUAGUCUCCACGUUUACCUUUUUGACUGUACUUUAUGAAUAAGCAUCGGCUAACUCCGUGCCAGCAGCCGCGGUAAUACGGAGGAUCCGAGCGUUAUCCGGAUUUAUUGGGUUUAAAGGGUGUGUAGGGGGGUUUAUAAGUCAGUGGUAAAAUUUUGGGGCUAAACCUAACUACGCCAUUUAUACUGGAAGUCUAGAGAACAGACGAGGUAGGCGGAAUGCGUGGAGUAGCGGUGAAAUGCAUAGAUAUCACGAAGAACACCGAUAGCGAAGGCAGCUUACCAAACUGAGACUGACACUGAUGCACGAGAGCGUGGGUAUCGAACAGGAUUAGAUACCCUAGUAGUC